ACGUAGGGGGCGAGCGUUGUCCGGAUUUACUGGGCGUAAAACGCUUGUAGGCGGCCACGCCAAGUCGGAUGUGAAAUCUCCCGGCUUAACUGGGAGGGGUCAUUCGAUACUGGCGGGCUCGAGGCAGGUAGGGGGAAGCGGAAUUCCCGGUGUAGUGGUGGAAUGCGUAGAUAUCGGGAGGAACACCAGUGGCGAAGGCGGCUUCCUGGACCUGUUCUGACGCUGAGGAGCGAAAGCGUGGGGAGCGAUCCGGA
rnacentral:rRNA from 1 species